UUGGCAUUGGCAAACAAGAUUUAUUUGCCUCCUUUGGGGUUAUCCAUACAUUGCCAGCCAAUAUUAAAUUGGGCAACCUAAAUUAAAGGCCACGCACUUUUAUCGGAAAAAAGGGACGUUCGCGGUCGGCUUUUUAUGGUUAAUUAAAAGCCGUGCGGCAUUCGAUUAGCAUAUUAAUUGGCAAUUCCCGACAAUGUCCUAUCAAUCGCUGCCACAAGCUUUAAAUUAAUUAAUUAACUUUCGAUGUAAACAUUUGUUCAAUCAGUGCCCCUCUCAAAAUAGAAAACUGACUGCGAGUCACACUGAAGUUUGUAUGCUGAAAUGUUAUUCACUUUCAGCCAGCUGUGUUUGUUUUUAUCCGCAGUCAAAUGACGUAUACGCCGCGUGGCACUGUUCGAGUGGCAAAGGGCCCCAGGUGCUGUUUUAAUUACCCCGAUGUAUCUACACGCGUCGACAAUCAAAGAAUUCUAUUUCAGAUCAUCAUUAGAAAUAUAUAUUUUCUGCCAUGAACCAGUUACACGUGCGUCUAAUUGGCAGCAGACCGUCAGUGAUAGGCAACAUUUGAAUUGGUAUUUCGCCAUCGAUGCAUUCAGUUAAGUUUUAAUUUCAACUGGCUUUAUAAUUUCGCACGUGCCACACAACCUCAGCUCAGUACGCUCAAUCUCUUUAUCCUUGGCCAUUUGCAUAUCCCGAUUGCAUUGCAUUUGCAGCCAUUGCCACUUCAAUCUCUGGCGGUAUGUUUAUUCAUUUAUCAGUCCCGAAGCGCAGAUGUUUCAGCUUGACAAACAUUAACUAACUGCGAUGCACAAGGCGAUGGCACAAGCUAAACAUGGCGUAUAUGCAAUAAGUAAGCUAGACUAAGCUAAACAAAACAUUUGCAAUCAGGGACUUGUACAACAACAUGGGCAAAUGCAAGGCCACGCCGAAAAUGUCAACACAAUAUCACGCAUACGCACGGUGGGCCAUACGUUUGAGUGAACAACGCCAUUGUGCAAAGCGGGUGUUUGCAAUCAGUUUUCUGGAGCCUAAGUUGACAUGGCCCCCUGUCAAGUCAAAAGGAAAUCUGCUUUGACAGCAGUAAGGGAACCGAACCGAAAAAAUAAGCAACAAAGGAGACUGGGGGCUGGGAUAAAAGGUGUCACCACAACUUUGAUAUGUGAAAGUGAACACUGAUGUUUGUCACUCAAGUGAAAGGCUUUAAGGAAAGACCGCAAAAAAGUGGUUUAUGACGACAGAUGAACGCAAGAAUUUCUUACACAAAAGAUGUGAAUUUUAUCAAUUUAUACGUUAGCCACAACUAUGAAUUGUCAACAUGAAUGAGCUUUGAUAAGAAUGUAAUCAGCAGGGCGCAAAUACCCUUCCAAGUUUUAUGCCAUAAUUACAGUUAGAGGAAACGGAAAAAAAAUGAAUCAAUCAAUCAAUCAAUACACAGCAGCUGUGAACGAGAACUUUUCAACUCCCCACGGAAAUUCACGGUGAAAUACAUCAAAUUUUGUGUGUCAACAGCAGCCACCACUGAUGUACCUGUAUUAUGUAAAAUAAAGAAUUUCUUUUAA